GGCAUGGUGGUGCAGUGGUUAGCACUGCUACCUCACAAUAAGAAGGUUGUGGGUUUGAAUCUGCCUGGGGCCU